UAGAUACACAAAUAUCAUAGACACAGAAGUUACAUAUGCUUUUAUUAAGAGUUAACGAUUUAAAAAAUAACCUAAUGAUAUGCGUGCUAAAUCUGUAAAUAAUUGAAAUGAGUCACUUUCUUCUGGUAACACCUUCCUGGGGCUAUUCCGUUCUAAGAUGACCAAAUAGGAACAGCUCUGGUCUGGAGCUCCCAGCAUGCCCGACACAGAAGACGGGUGAUUUCUGCAUUUUCACUGAGUUAUUCCUUUGUAGUUGUGAUCCAGCAUGGAUGUGGUGUGGUUGUAUCAGUGACUGCAGGUAGUCUGUGGAGCAUUACACAGUUCUUUACGGAAAUAGCAGCUGCAAGUGACCAGGACCACUGACAGCAGAAGGCACAUCACUUACCAUGGUAAAAAGCAGUUUAGAAAAAUCUCAAAAACAAAAUAAAUGUUUACUGGAGACUCAAA